GCGAAAGCCGUGAAUUUUUUUUCCUCAGUUAGUUCUGGAAAGUGAGAACUGGGACUGACAAUAUGAACGCCGAGUGGCCGCGCCUAAGGCAUCUGCAGUGACUUACACAAACGAUAUAAACGUGAAUGUGAAUGUAAAGAGUCAAGUCGCGUUCGCUAUUAUAAUACUCACCUUUACAAACGUGCCUUCUGGGGCCUCACGAAGAGAGGAGCAUUAAAAGAGGAGAGGACUGAGGAGCGAAGAACGAAGAGAACUGAACGGUUUGAAAUAACAGGUGGGGGGCCCGAAAGCCACAUCGCUGCAUGACCGCACCGGCUGGUAUGCGGUGAACAGCGAUUCUCAUUCAGCCACUGUACAAAUAAAGAAGCCAAUUCAAAAUAUCGGAUUACGCAAGACCAUAUACGCUGUAUUAGAGAACGAACGAUAAUUUGGUUUUUCUUCCAUUGUCAAUUAAGCAUGUCAAUGUCUACGAUAUAGCUGUAAUUUUAAUUGCUAAAUAUACAGUAAUCGUUCGACUUAUACCCUGAUAUAACUGGACACCGAAAAGGAGAAAGUUGCGAGCAUGAACGGUUUCCAAAAACGGUUAGAGAUCGUUUUGUGGUUGAAUAUUUAAAGUCUUAUCUCCAAUCAAACACGGGAAAUCCUAAACCAAAACUAAACCAAUAACUGGACGAUUAAUUACACUGGAAACCUCCCACCCAGUUCUAACAUCUGAGUCAAGACACAGUAGCUGCAGUCAUCACUAACGCAAGAGACAAUGAAUCAUACUAUAAUUGUCAAUUAACCGGAUAACGCGUGCUUCACAUUAUAAUUCAACCUUUGAACUUUGAACUUUUUAAAGUUUGCCCUUAGAUGAUCCCGGAUCGGGUUUCCUAUUGGCAUCACUUGAACCUAUGUUACAUCGAUUUAAUUAUCAAGGAAUCUACCAACAAUCAAGGUAAACAAAUCGAUGGGGGUGGAAUAUUGAUAGUCAGUAUACUACAGGUAUUACAUGUGUACACAAUACGUUGAGAAAGAUACGAGGAAA